rnacentral:rRNA from 1 species
GGUGAGUAACGCGUAGGUAACCUGCCUUGUACCGGGGGAUAACUAUUGGAAACGAUAGCUAAUACCGCAUAACAAUGGAUGACACAUGUCAUUUAUUUGAAAGGGGCAAUUGCUCCACUACAAGAUGGACCUGCGUUGUAUUAGCUAGUAGGUGAGGUAACGGCUCACCUAGGCGACGAUACAUAGCCGACCUGAGAGGGUGAUCGGCCACACUGGGACUGAGACACGGCCCAGACUCCUACGGGAGGCAGCAGUAGGGAAUCUUCGGCAAUGGGGGCAACCCUGACCGAGCAACGCCGCGUGAGUGAAGAAGGUUUUCGGAUCGUAAAGCUCUGUUGUAAGUCAAGAACGAGUGUGAGAGUGGAAAGUUCACACUGUGACGGUAGCUUACCAGAAAGGGACGGCUAACUACGUGCCAGCAGCCGCGGUAAUACGUAGGUCCCGAGCGUUGUCCGGAUUUAUUGGGCGUAAAGCGAGCGCAGGCGGUUUGAUAAGUCUGAAGUUAAAGGCUGUGGCUCAACCAUAGUUCGCUUUGGAAACUGUCAAACUUGAGUGCAGAAGGGGAGAGUGGAAUUCCAUGUGUAGCGGUGAAAUGCGUAGAUAUAUGGAGGAAC